rnacentral:rRNA from 1 species
UACGGAGGGUGCAAGCGUUAUCCGGAUUCACUGGGUUUAAAGGGUGCGUAGGUGGGUUGGUAAGUCAGUGGUGAAAUCCCCGAGCUUAACUUGGGAACUGCCAUUGAUACUAUUAAUCUUGAAUACCGUGGAGGUUAGCGGAAUAUGUCAUGUAGCGGUGAAAUGCUUAGAUAUGACAUAGAACACCAAUUGCGAAGGCAGCUGGCUACACGGUCAUUGACACUGAGGCACGAAAGCGUGGGGAUCAAACAGG